UCACUUCCAACAACGGAUCUCUUGGUUCUCGCAUCGAUGAAGAACGUAGCAAAGUGCGAUAAGUAAUGUGAAUUGCAGAAUUCCGUGGAUCAUCGAAUUUUUGAACGCAAAUUGCACUCUUUUUACGAAGAGUAUGCCUGUUUGAGGGUCA
rnacentral:rRNA from 1 species